UACGUAGGUGACAAGCGUUGUCCGGAUUUACUGGGCGUAAAGAGCGCGCAGGCGGUCGUUCAAGUCGAGUGUGAAAGCCCCCGGCUCAACUGGGGAGGGUCAUUCGAUACUGAUCGACUCGAAGGCAGGAGAGGGAAGUGGAAUUCCCGGUGUAGUGGUGAAAUGCGUAGAUAUCGGGAGGAACACCAGUGGCGAAGGCGACUUCCUGGCCUGUUCUUGACGCUGAGGCGCGAAAAGCUAGGGGAGCAAACGGGGAUUA
rnacentral:rRNA from 1 species